rnacentral:lncRNA from 1 species
CCACUUGUUGUUCCAAUAGGGUCGGAAGCGUGUAAAUUAUUGUACUAAAAAAUCACACAAAGUUCAAUUCCCAGGGAAGAGAGGUGGAUCAUAUGGAUCUCUUAAAUACCAAGUCUUUCCUUAGUCAGAAUAUCCCUUCUAUAGUAAUUUAAUAGCACAAUUAAAUACUACUAUUAUACCCUCAAAUAUUGAAAGAAAA